AACGAACGCUGGCGGCAUGCCUAACACAUGCAAGUCGAACGAGACCUUCGGGUCUAGUGGCGCACGGGUGCGUAACGCGUGGGAACCUGCCCUUAGGUUCGGAAUAACUCCCCGAAAGGGGUGCUAAUACCGGAUAAUGUCUUCGGACCAAAGAUUUAUCGCCUUUGGAUGGGCCCGCGUUGGAUUAGCUAGUUGGUAGGGUAAAAGCCUACCAAGGCGACGAUCCAUAGCUGGUCUGAGAGGAUGAUCAGCCACACUGGGACUGAGACACGGCCCAGACUCCUACGGGAGGCAGCAGUGGGGAAUAUUGGACGAGGGGCGAAAGCCUGAUCGAGCAAUGCCGCGUGAGUGAUGAAGGCCUUAGGGUUGUAAAGCUCUUUUACACGGGAUGAUAAUGACAGUACCGGGAGAAUAAGCACCGGCUAACUCCGUG
rnacentral:rRNA from 1 species